GAUGAACGCUGGCGGCGUGCCUAAUACAUGCAAGUCGAGCGAACGGACGAGAAGCUUGCUCCUCUGAUGUUAGCGGCGGACGGGUGAGUAACACGUGGAUAACCUACCUAUAAGACUGGGAUAACUUCGGGAAACCGUAGCUAAUACCGGAUAAUAUUUUGAACCGCAUGGUUCAAAAGUGAAAGACGGUCUUGCUGUCACUUAUAGAUGGAUCCGCGCUGCAUUAGCUAGUUGGUAAGGUAACGGCUUACCAAGGCAACGAUGCAUAGCCGACCUGAGAGGGUGAUCAGCCACACUGGAACUGAGACACGGUCCAGACUCCUACGGGAGGCAGCAGUGGGGAAUCUUGCGCAAUGGGCGAAAGCCUGAUGCAGCAACGCCGCGUGAGUGAUGAAGGUCUUCGGGUCGUAAAGCUCUGUUAUUAGGGAAGAACAGAUGUGGAAGUAACUGUGCACGUCUUGACGGUACCUAAUGAGUAAGCCACGGCUAACUACGUG
rnacentral:rRNA from 1 species